rnacentral:rRNA from 1 species
CCUACGGGUGGCAGCAGUGAGGAAUAUUGGUCAAUGGGCGCGAGCCUGAACCAGCCAAGUAGCGUGCAGGAUGACGGCCCUACGGGUUGUAAACCUCUUUUGCCCGGGAGCAACGGGCGCCACGUGUGGCGCCUCUGAGAUUACCCGGAGAAAAAGCAUCGGCUAACCCCGUCCAACCACCCGCGGUAAUAGGAAGGUUGCGAGGGUUAUCCGAUUUUAGUGGGUUUAAAGGGUGCGUAGGCGGGUCGUUAAGUCGGUGGUCAAAUUGGGGGGUCCAACGUCUUCCCGCCAUUGAAACUGGCGCUCUUGAGUGGAAGAGAAGUAUGCGGAAUGCGUGGUGUAGCGGGGAAAUGCAUAGAUAUCACGAAGAACCCCGAUUGCGAAGGCAGCAUGCGGGCUUCCGACUGACGCUGAAGCACGAAGGCGUGGGGAUCGAACAGGAUUAGAUACCCGUGUAGUC